rnacentral:rRNA from 1 species
UACGUAGGGUGCGAGCGUGUCCGGAUUUAUUGGGCGUAAAGAGCUUGUAGGCGGCUCGUCACGUCGGGUGUGAAAACUCGCGGCUCAACCGCGAGCCUGCACCCGAUACGGGCGGGCUGGAGUUCGGCAGGGGAGACUGGAAUUCCUGGUGUAGCGGUGGAAUGCGCAGAUAUCAGGAGGAACACCGGUGGCGAAGGCGGGUCUCUGGGCCGAUACUGACGCUGAGAAGCGAAAGCGUGGGGAGCGAACAGG